rnacentral:tRNA from 1 species
UCUUGGCAGCUCAGUGGUAAAGAAUCUGCCUCCCAAGCAGGAUACCUGGGUUCAAUCCCUGGGUCGGGAA